UACAGAUGUUCUCGUACUUCUAGUAUCUUUUUUUCCAAAGCUCAGUCAGAAAGGUUUAAAGCAUCUGUGGCUGCAAUAUGGAGUAGGAUCUAAACAAUGCUAUAUUAGUGUUCACCAAAUUUCGCAGACUCUUGGAGACGACAAAUCUGAGGCACUGCGAGGUUUCCACGCUUUUUCGGGUAGUGAUUUCACGUCCUUUUUUCGUGGCAAGGGCAAGCGUUUUGCAUGGGCAACAUGGGACGAAAUUUUCACUUAUGUCUUUAAGGAGAUUUCCAACCCACAAACCGAAAUUAGUCCGAUCGUAUAUGCGGACUUUAACCAUAUUUUUUGAGAAAUUUACCAUAAAACUGUAUGGCGUAUGCACAUCGGAAUCAAAUGAGAAUUCACGUCUAGGUAUAAAUGAGGUGAGAAAGUUUGUUUCAGACGUUUGUCUUAUGUUUGUUUAGACGGUAAACACCUAGCUUCAAUUCCUCCAACACGCGCUGCAUUGGAGAAGCACAUAAAGAGAGCAGCGUAUGUCGCUGGUCACAUCUGGGGCUGUGCAAAUCUUGUAAAGGAAAAUUGCACAAGUCCUGAAGGAUGGGGAUGGACUCUUGAUCUUGAGGUUAAUCAUUGGAAGGUUUUGUGGUCCAUGUUGCCACAGGUUUGGAAGGCAGUUCGUGCUUUAGAUAGAUGUGGCUGCGUGUCAGGCUGCGAGACACUUCGGUGCAGCUGCCGGCGACAGGGACUGCCAUGUUCCCCUGCAUGCCAAAAAUGUAUGGGGGAUUGCUCAAAUAAAGGGUAAAUUUAUUGAAUAUUUCCGAUACAAUCUACUACCGAACCUCCUAUAUUUAUUUUUAUGUGCAAUUUGUUUUAGUGGGAAUAACGCCGAAAAAGACAGGGACGUACUUGGCGAUAGUUCAUAGUUUAGUAGUUUAUAAUUUAGAUACUUCAUAUUUCUGUACCCUUAUAUUUAGUUUUUAUAUUAAACCUUAUAUUUUUGUUUUAUUUGUUGCUGUUGUUAAUUUUUAUUUGUUAAUGUGUAUUUUUACGUUGUUUUUAUGGGAUAUAAAUACAUAAAUAUAUAUAAUAAAAUAUUAUUACAGUCUUUCAUAUACACUUUCAAUACCCGUGGGCUAUUUUCAAUAUUAUAAAUGAACUCCUUGACCCGGAAAACAUAAGUUUAGACACCUUACACGACCCGAUAGACUCGAACUUUUGGUUAAAGACAAAAUUCAAUCAAAAGUCGGCCAUUUUUUAAAAAUGGCGGCUUUUGACAGACUUCCAGUAUCUGCAUUACAUUUUUGGCAAGACCAUUAAAUUGCUUGGGUCCAAAUUAUAUGAAAUUGACACCCAGAUCUCGCCGCUAGGGUAAAUUUAUUUUUUUCUUAAUUAUUACCCCCACUUCCCCAAAAUCUACCCACACGGAAAAUCUAGAGUGUUCUUCGGGCCAAAUCGUCUAAAUGGUUCUAAGGAACAUCUGUGCCAAGUGGCACCUUGGUAUCAAAAAAUGCAGUAUCUUUUGGCGUACCGCUAGUACUAUUAAGCAUGCCUGCGUUUUACAAGUGAACAUCUAAAUUGGACGUUGGAACAAUGGGAAUUUGUUCUGUUCCCAGAUAAGACCAGAACACGCCUCCAUGAUAGGGAACGAAAAACGAAAGUGUACCGAAGACCAAAAGAGUGAUUUGUAGAUUGCUGAUUUGAAGAGCAGAGUGCUUAAUUUAAUUCAAAUUCAACAUGUUUUAUUUGCCCAAAAUACAAGAAAUACAUUACAUAGAGAAAAAGAUAGAUAGUACAAAAUGUCUUAGACAAAUAAGAAAUAUUUCACGAUUAUAAAUAACCAAUACGCCAAAUCAUCGCCAGAAUAAAUCGGUGCGAAAUGACCUUACAACCUAAUAGAACUAAAACUACGACGAAGUACAAAAGAAGAUAUUUCAGUUUAGUCACACUCACGAACAGAGCGGUAUUGACUUGUAUUCAUAAAAAAAAUAAUACUGCAGAUUGGGUAUAGGUCUAGAGCAAUGAGGAACGACGCAGGAAAAAAUAUAUAAGAGACAACGCAUAUGUUUCGCAAAAAUUAAAUUGAAUAGACUCCAUAUCAUGAACUAGUUUACGGAGUAAAAGAUUUUCAGACGAAAACUUUUCGAUUGUAUUGUCGCCAUUUUUGAGGUUAGUCGAACCUUUGGUGGUAUGUAUUUCAGGGCUAGGAUUCUAAAAUUACGACUCGAUCUCGUACGAUCACGACUUCGAAUUCGAUCGCGACGAGAAGGGUGAUUCCAACGAGAUUUGUUGGUAUAUAAUUUAUUAUUUUCUCUAAUAUUUGACAGAUGGAAACUUAAAUUGUCUUUUCUAUUGAUAAACACUCUAAGAAUUUUCAUUUGUUUUAAUUUUUUCGCUUCCGUGUUUUUUUAUUUAAAUAUAUGCCCACAUUUCUUUAAAAUAAAAAAAUAUUUUUUUAAACCACCACUACCCAUAGGGAAAUAAUAAUUAAAUUCAUGGAAAAUUACAAAAAUUUGUUGUGUUCAUCCACUUUUGGUUUUAAUAUGGCAACAUGGGUGCAAUCAAUAGCACUUAUAACACCAGGAAAAUUAGAUCUCUCCAUAAAUCUUAAUUUAUUAAGUUGCCUCUCAUCUCUUGUAUUUGAAAAAUGAAUGAAUCGGUCAGCAAGCUGAUGGUCCUAAUUUUAGUAGUUUUAUGGAACCAACGACUUGCAGUAGUUUCGCUAAUUCCAAAAUUAAAAUAUUGUCCAAUGUUUCUUUGGUAACAACCUGUGGCAUUAAAUCUUGACAUACUAAAACUGCUAAUUCAAUGGUAACUCUACGUCCUCUGCCUCUAUUAUUGACAGGAUGUUGUGGAAAAUAUAUUGGUUGGAAAAUGGCUGCAGAAAGUGGAUGCUGUCAAGAAUACUUAUGAUGUACCCCUCUACAUUUUAUAGUGCUAUUUUAGAUCGAUGUACGAAAUAUCAAUCAAAUAACUACAAUUAAUUAUACAGAAUGUUUUAAAUAAUAUUAAAAAUGGUUAUGAAACGAAGUUUAUUAAUUAAAAGUACACAAACCAAGCAUACUAUGUAUGUGCGAUUCAAAAGAAAGCCGAGAAUCAAAAGUUAUACCCAAAUUUUUUUGCGUUGGCACUAUACUGAUUAGCUGUUGAGUUAUAUAAAUCUUUAAACUAUUGAAAUGUUGGUCAAUUAAAUUCUUGUUUAUUCCAAAUAACACAAGUGAGUGUUUCUUACUAUUUAACUUGAAAGUAUGAGCUAUUGUAUAGUCAUAUUGUUUAAGUCUUUGCUAAAGUUCGGUUGAAAUUGUCCUAAAUUAGGCAAGGCAAUUAACAUAUAAAGUUGAAAAUCAUCAGCAUAUUGUAAUAAUUUGGAAUGUCGUUUAGCUUUAUACAUAUCAGCUACUUAAAAUAAAAAUAAAAGAGGGCCCAAGAUAGAGCAUUGUGGAACUUCUUUGCUCAUGGGUAAGUAAUCGGAUUUCCUAUUUAAACAUUAUUGUAUAACAAGACACAUUGAGAACGAUCUUUAAGAUGGCAAUCAAAAAACUGAACACACGUGCAAGAUAAGUAAUGUAAUUUUGCUAGAACCAUAUUAUGAUCUAGAGUGUCAAAUGCCUUGCGAAAAUCCAGAAGCCCUAAGACAUUAUGAUUUGCUUGAUUUAAUCUAAUGCCGUCAGUCAGCUUCACGAGACACGUAGUGGUACUAAAAUUUUUGCGGAAACCAGACUGGCUACUAGGAAUAAUAGAGAAUUUAUCUAAAAAUAACCGCAUUUGUUCAUAGAUAUGCUUUUCUUCUCUUAGAUAAUUCUGAUAAAAUACUUAUAGGCCUUAAAUCUUUGACUUCUUGUACGUCAUUGACUUUUGUUAGAGGAAAGAUAAUCGCUUCUUCCAAAGGUAAAAAAUAUGUUCAUAAAUACCCGUAUUUAUGAUAUUUAAUAGUGAAUUUUUACAGAAAGGCAGACACAAUUUUAUAUCUCUUAUUUUAAUUAAGUUUAUGUGGUGAUACAAACUAGGCUCAUCUAAUAGAUUAAAAAUCAGGGGUGUAGUUUUAUUCUGAUGCUGAUUAUUAAUGAUUGUAUCAGCAGUAUUGUAUUGCAUUGAGCAUAAUAUUUAUUUAUAUUUGAUAUAUCAGUUAGCUCUAGUAGGAUUCGAAAGUUAGGCUUAUAAUUAAUCUGAUUUAAUCUGACGUUUGCGUUAGUCCAAACAUCUUUUUGCAGAAAAUUAAUUGAAAUAUGUGAUUUUUUUCUUUAGCAAUAGCAUGCUGAGUGUGUGUUCCUGAAUACACGAUAAUAUCUUGAACGAGCCUCUGAGGAAGA